GUAGGUGAACCUGCGGAAGGAUCAUUAAAGAGAACAUGCCCUCCGGGGUAGAUCUCCCACCCUUUGUUUACAUUACCUUUGUUGCUUUGGCAGGCCCGUCUCCGGGCCGCCGGCUUCGGCUGGUCAGCGCCUGCCAGAGGACCCCAAACUCUUAUUAUUAAUGUCGUCUGAGUACUAUAUAAUAGUUAAAACUUUCAACAACGGAUCUCUUGGUUCUG
rnacentral:misc_RNA from 1 species